GAAGAGGGAUAAUAUUCCUCCACUGACAGAGGUGAGAGCUGGAAGAACUCCUAAGACUUUUCCAGACCUUUGGAGCUUUCUUCAAAACAAGAGCUGGAGAAAGCUCAGAUGUUUGGGUACAGUAGGCCCAUUCCGACACAACAAGCCUACGCUCAAGCUGUGAUCCCAACAGAGAAGAAAGCGUUUCAGGUCUGAGCUGCUCUCAUCCAGUGAGCUACUGCCAUAUCAGCUCUGCUCCAAGGAAGUGGAAGUACUUGCUUUUAUUUAUUUUUAUCCUGUGGCAUCAAAACGU